rnacentral:rRNA from 1 species
GACGAACGCUGGCGGCGUGCUUAACACAUGCAAGUCGAACGGAAAGGCCCUGCUUUUGUUGGGUGCGCGAGUGGCGAACGGGUGAGUAACACGUGAGUAACCUGCCCUUUACUUUGGGAUAACUGCAGGAAACUGGGGUUAAUACCGGAUAUGAGCUCCUGCUGCAUGGUGGGGGUUGGAAAGUUUCGGCGGUUGGGGAUGGACUCGCGGGUUAUCAGCUUGUUGGUGGGGGAGUGGCUUACCAAGGCUUUGACGGGUAGCCGGCCUGAGAGGGUGACCGGCCACAUUGGGACUGAGAUACGGCCCAGACUCCUACGGGAGGCAGCAGUGGGGAAUAUUGACCAAUGGGCGGAAGCCUGAUGAAGCAACGCCGCGUGCGGGAUGACGGCCUUCGGGUUGUAAACCGCUUUCGCCUGUGACGAAGCGUGAGUGACGGUAAUGGGUAAAGAAGCACCGGCUAACUACGUG